UACGUAGGGUGCGAGCGUUAAUCGGAAUUACUGGGCGUAAAGCGUGCGCAGGCGGUUCGUUGUGUCGGCGGUGAAAGCCCCGGGCUUAACCUGGGAAUGGCCGUUGAAACUGGCGAACUGGAGUGUGGCAGAGGGGGGUGGAAUUCCGCGUGUAGCAGUGGAAUGUGUAGAGAUGCGGAGGAACACCGAUGGCGAAGGCAGCCCCCUGGGCUAACACUGACGCUCAGGCACGAAAGCGUGGGGAGCAAACAGG
rnacentral:rRNA from 1 species